rnacentral:rRNA from 1 species
AAUGAACGUUGGCGGCGUGGAUUAGGCAUGCAAGUCGUGCGAUAACCGUAGCAAUACGGCGAAAGCGGCGAAAGGGAGAGUAAUGCGUGGAUACCUACCCCCAGGUCCAGGAUAGCCGCGGGAAACUGCGGGUAAUACUGGAUGACGUCUCCGGACCAAAGGUGUGAUUCCGCCCGGGGAUGGGUCCGCGUCCUAUUAGCUUGUUGGCAGGGUAAUGGCCUACCAAGGCAAAGAUGGGUACGGGGUGUGAGAGCAUGCCCCCGCUCACUGGGACUGAGACACUGCCCAGACACCUACGGGUGGCUGCAGUCGAGGAUCUUCGGCAAUGGGCGCAAGCCUGACCGAGCGACGCCGCGUGCGGGAUGAAGGCCUUCGGGUUGUAAACCGCUGUCAGAGGGGAGGAAAUGCCGGUGGGUUCUCCCAUCGGUUUGACCUAUCCUCAGAGGAAGGACGGGCUAAGUUCGUGCCAGCCGCCGCAGUAA